rnacentral:tRNA from 1 species
UUCCUGGUGGUCCAAGGGUUAGGACUCUGUACUUUCACUGCUGAGGGCCCAGGUUCAAUACCCAGUCAGGGAA